rnacentral:lncRNA from 1 species
AAGAUAAAUAAAUAAAAAUGAAAAUAAAAUAAAAAGUAAAAAAAUAAAAUAAAGUAUUAAAAAAAAGGUGCAGAGGUGCCUAAAUAAGAAAAUGAGGUGUCUAAACCACUUAUUUCUAAUAUGAAAAGAUUGGAACUAAGCCCAAGCGAAAAAAGGGUGGUGAAAAUAAAAGCAAGGGUGUCUGAACCAUUUUUCCCUUUUAAAGCUCCAAUAUUAACUACUUAGCCAUAACGUGUUAGCCUUCUUGUUUCACAGUUUUGGACCAUUCAUGGUAGACCAUUUUUCUUUUGUGCAGGAUAUAGCCCGAGUAGACCUUGGUCUCUCUCCC